GCCCAGGUAGCUCAGUGGUAGAGCACAUCCUUGGUAAGGAUGAGGUCGGCGGUUCAAUCCCGCUCUUGGGCU
rnacentral:tRNA from 1 species